rnacentral:rRNA from 1 species
AGUGAACGCCGGCGGUAGGCCUAACACAUGCAAGUCGAACGGCAGCACAGUAAGAGCUUGCUCUUACGGGUGGCGAGUGGCGGACGGGUGAGGAAUACAUCGGAAUCUACUUUUUCGUGGGGGAUAACGUAGGGAAACUUACGCUAAUACCGCAUACGACCUACGGGUGAAAGCAGGGGAUCUUCGGACCUUGCGCGAUUGAAUGAGCCGAUGUCGGAUUAGCUAGUUGGCGGGGUAAAGGCCCACCAAGGCGACGAUCCGUAGCUGGUCUGAGAGGAUGAUCAGCCACACUGGAACUGAGACACGGUCCAGACUCCUACGGGAGGCAGCAGUGGGGAAUAUUGGACAAAGGGCGCAAGCCUGAUCCAGCCAUACCGCGUGGGUGAAGAAGGCCUUCGGGUUGUAAAGCCCUUUUGUUGGGAAAGAAAAGCAGCAGGUUAAUACCCCGCUGUUCUGACGGUACCCAAAGAAUAAGCACCGGCUAACUUCGUG